rnacentral:lncRNA from 1 species
AAUAUUUUCUAAGGAAAUAAUUUAAAGUACAAUACUAUCGGAAUAUUGUAUGGAUGAAUUGUGUACAUAUUGCGACAGUAAUAUCGGUGACUACCGAAUAUUGUUAAUAUUUUAUGUCUUAUGUGGGUGGUGUGUUUCAUUUUCAGUGCCACCGUACGAGGAGUCCACGGCGCUGUUGGUAAGGGACGGCCGGACAGGGCGGGAGGUCUUCUCUGGACUAAAGGUGGAAAGCCCAAUCAAGAGCCGAUUUCCCUUCGAAGCGUACGAAGUCGCAGGCGACAGUCUGCACGCCGAAGUGGCGGACGUGGUGUCGACGGUGAACCGCUCCAUCCGGAGAUCAAAGAAGUUACGGGCCCUCCGGCUGUCUCUCUCUCCGGCCUGCCUGAACGGGGAGGACUCGGAUUUUUUUGUAAAGCAAGUUCAAAGAAUUUUAAGGGCAAUGGAAACUUCCGGCGACAACGCACUUCUGCACGUGAGCGUAACAGGACUAGAGUCAGACGUCAUCCCCGUGGUGUCCCCCUGGGGGAACGAAUCAAUGGAGCAAGCGAUGGCGGACUUGUCCGUAGAAGACGAGAAAGUUGGCGAUGGUGAGAACUUGUCCGUAGAAGACGAGCAAGUUGGCGAUGGAGAGAACUUGGCCGUAGAAGACGAGCAAGUUGGCGAUGGAGAGAAGUUGUCCGUAGAAGACGAGCAAGUUGGCGAUGGAGAGAACUUGGCCGUAGAAGACGAGCAAGUUGGCGAUGGAGAGAAGUUGUCCGUAGAAGACGAGCAAGUUGCCGAUGGAGAGAUGCUUGCCCAAGUAGAGGAGCAGCCACGAGGCGAGGAGGAGGAGGAAGAAGUCUCAGUCCAGCCUGAACCCGAGCUUCCACCCGAAGAGGCGGCGCUGAAGGCUUCCCAUCCCACCCUCUACAAAAGGAUCCUCAACCUCACCCGGGAGGGCUACAUCUUAUCAGUAAAAUCUCGCGGGGACAGAACAAUCUACGUGAAUACCAGAGGAGUCGCCACGUGCCGUAACAAAGGGUCGCACUAUUUCGACUCGGCCACGUUUGUUAUUAAUACCCUGGCUCAAAGCAUCCGGCAAACCUGCCAUUCGGCCGAGUGCAGAAUGGACGAUGGGAGAACGCGAUGGAUCUCGGAAGCCAAAGUUAAAGAGGCACUAAACAAACAAGAACAUAAAAUGGAUGUAGAUGAACCAGCUGGUUUGUAUUCCUGA